rnacentral:rRNA from 1 species
AGAGUUUGAUCCUGGCUCAGGACGAACGCUGGCGGCGUGGAUUAGGCAUGCAAGUCGAACGGUAGAUACUCCUUCGGGGGUAUUGAGAGUGGCGAACGGGUGAGUAACACGUAGAUGAUCUACCCUCAAAUGGGGGACAACCCAGGGAAACUUGGGCUAAUACCGCAUGAGUGCAGCGCAUAAAUUAUCUUUUGCUGGGUAAUUUAUGCGCUGUAUAAAAGAUGGCUUUCGGGCUGUCGUUUGGGGAUGAGUCUGCGUCCUAUUAGUUAGUUGGUGAGGUAAUGGCUCACCAAGGCGAUGAUAGGUAGGCGGCCUUAACGGGUGGCCGCCCACACUGGGAUUGAGAUACGGCCCAGACUCCUACGGGAGGCAGCAGUCGAGAAUAGUCUACAAUGGACGAAAGUCUGAUAGUGCGACGCCGCGUGAACGAAGAAUCCCUUCGGGGUGUAAAGUUCUUUUAUAUGUGAGCAAUGCUUUUUAUGUGAAUAGCAUGAGAAGAGAGAUAUUAGCAUAUGAAUAAGCAACGGCUAACUCCGUGCCAGCAGCCGCGGUAACACGGGGGUUGCAAGCGUUGUCCGGAAUUACUAGGCGUAAAGGGCAGGUAGGCGGAUCCAUAAGUUUGAUGUUAAAGGCAGCGGCUCACCCGCUGUACGGCGUCAGAUACUGUGGAUCUGGAAUGCGGUUGGGGAAGACAGAAUUCCUGGUGUAGCGGUGGAAUGCGCAGAGAUCAGGAGGAAUACCAAAGGCGAAGGCAGUCUUCUAAGCCGUUAUUGACGCUAAACUGCGAAGGUGUGGGUAUCAAACAGGAUUAGAUACCCUGGUAGUCCACACAGUAAACGAUAAUCACUAGGUGUCGGGUUCGUAGAGAAUUCGGUGCCGUAGCUAACGCGAUAAGUGAUUCGCCUGGGGAGUACGAUCGCAAGGUUGAAACUCAAAGGAAUUGACGGGGGCCCGCA